rnacentral:rRNA from 1 species
CCUACGGGAGGCAGCAGUGGGGAAUUUUGGACAAUGGGCGAAAGCCUGAUCCAGCCAUUCCGCGUGAGUGAAGAAGGCCUUCGGGUUGUAAAGCUCUUUCGCAAGGGAAGAAAACUUAGUCUCUAACAUAGACUGAGGUUGACGGUACCUUGAUAAGAAGCACCGGCUAACUACGUGCCAGCAGCCGCGGUAAUACGUAGGGUGCGAGCGUUAAUCGGAAUUACUGGGCGUAAAGCGUGCGCAGGCGGUUUUUGUAAGUCAGAUGUGAAAUCCCCGAGCUCAACUUGGGAACUGCGUUUGAAACUACAAGACUAGAAUAUGUCAGAGGGGGGUAGAAUUCCACGUGUAGCAGUGAAAUGCGUAGAGAUGUGGAGGAAUACCAAUGGCGAAGGCAGCCCCCUGGGAUAAUAUUGACGCUCAUGCACGAAAGCGUGGGGAGCAAACAGGAUUAGAUACCCUGGUAGUCCACGCCCUAAACGAUGUCUACUAGUUGUUGGUGGAGUAAAAUCCAUGAGUAACGCAGCUAACGCGUGAAGUAGACCGCCUGGGGAGUACGGGUCGCAAGNUUAAAACUUNAAAUUGAAUUGACCGG